rnacentral:rRNA from 1 species
AUUGAACGCUGGCGGCAUGCCUUACACAUGCAAGUCGAACGGUAACAGGUCUUCGGAUGCUGACGAGUGGCGAACGGGUGAGUAAUACAUCGGAACGUGCCCGAUCGUGGGGGAUAACGGAGCGAAAGCUUUGCUGAUACCGCAUACGAUCUACGGAUGAAAGCAGGGGACCGCAAGGCCUUGCGCGAACGGAGCGGCCGAUGGCAGAUUAGGUAGUUGGUGGGAUAAAAGCUUACCAAGCCGACGAUCUGUAGCUGGUCUGAGAGGACGACCAGCCACACUGGGACUGAGACACGGCCCAGACUCCUACGGGAGGCAGCAGUGGGGAAUUUUGGACAAUGGGCGCAAGCCUGAUCCAGCAAUGCCGCGUGCAGGAUGAAGGCCUUCGGGUUGUAAACUGCUUUUGUACGGAACGAAAAGGCUCUGGUUAGUACCUGGGGCUCAUGACGGUACCGUAAGAAUAAGCACCGGCUAACUACGUGCCAGCCGCCGCAGUAAUAC